AUACUUGAGGAAAAUGAGGGUGAUAGAGUAAAAUAUGCAUUUUCGAAAAAAAAAAGAAAAAAAAUUGAUGACAUUUUCGUGGAUAAUCUGAACUUUGGGGAUGAAAAAGGCAAGCCAAAGUUUCAAUAAAAGCAUGAGUUAGUUUUGUGUUUGACUUCAAGUUUUGAGUCAUAUUUGCAAAAACCCCUACAUAUAGAUGUAAAUGAUGAAUACGUUUCUUUAUUAAAUUUAUUAUUUGUUUAGUUUUUUUAUAAAAACUGUUUUUAUUUAUUAAAAAUAUCCAUUUAAAUGUUCAAUAAACAAAAACAUAUAAUUAGUUUCUAAAGAUAAUUUUUGAAAAAUGAAAAAUGUUUUUAAUAUUUAUAAGCUUAUGUAAGGAAACUUGUAUUUAAAGUUCAGAAAUAGAAAAAUUUUCUGAAAAUAAGAAAAAAAAAUUAAUAACUGAAUAAUUUUAAUAAUAGAUAUUGGAGAAUGAAGGGAAAUGGAAAUUAUUUUAAAAAUUAUUGGUUCAAGUAGAUCUUAGCAAAUUUAAAGGGGUUAAUAAACUAAUUAGUGUAUACCAUUUAACCAAAUCUUUUUUAAACUACAAAGAAACUUUAGUUUCCAAAAGGGAAAUUGCAUGGUAUAAUACCAAAAAAAUUCAAAAUUCACUCACUAACCAAAAUAACACUCUCUCACCUCUUUUUUCUUCCUAUCUUUCUCUACCUUCUUUCUACAAAACCAAUUUUCCUUUCUUUUUUGGCUAUUUCACAAAUAAACCAUACCCCCACCCCCCUCCUUUGAUGUUGUUUAGAUGGCAUUCCUCGGUGGUUGUGGAUAUUGAUAACACACCUGUACAUCCGCCACUGGUCGCAUCAAUCCCAUUUGAAGAGUCGAACAGGACGUUCCUAUCCAAACUGGAAAGAGGUUGAGACUUGGACUAAGGACGUGGAGAGCAUUCCACCAGAUGGAAUGGAGCUUAAGAAAUAUAAGUAUUGGUCUAUUUAAAUCCUCUUUGCUGGUCUGUGAAAAGUUUUGACAAAUCUUUAAACUUUUUUUUCGCUUGAGUUUGUCUCUUUAUUUCUGCAUUGUGGUCUGAGAAAACGAAUCUUAUAUUGUAUUAUAAAACUUCUCAAGUUUUGGGUUUUGUACUUUGUUAAGGUGUUAUUAUUUGGGUUUGUGAAUCAUGUGUGAACAUUUAUGUUCCACACACCGUUUGUAGUACCUUUUUGAUUGUACGCUCCAAUUCUGGUUUAACAUAUCUACAAAUUAUUAGACCUUUCAAAACCUGUGAUCAGUCUAAAAAUUACCU